rnacentral:lncRNA from 1 species
UGGUUUUAUAUCUAUUGUCACUCUUUUGGAUAUAAUGCAUGCAUACAAAAAGAAAUUAAGGAUCAACAACUAGAAUUGGAGAAAAACUUUUUUUGGCUAUAUUUUAUACAUAUUUUUUAAUGAAUUCUAAGCUGGAAUGAAGGAAAUAUUAGAAGUUGAAGUCAAUGCUUGAAAUCUAAGGAGUAGUAAGUGAUCCGAAUUGCUAAUGGUUGUGUUUUUA